AGGGACCAACGAUAAGAGCAUGCCUGUUUUUAACAACUUUGUUUAUGUUGAGAGAAGUAUUUCUCUGUACUUCUCAGUCGCAUUUCAAGACAUUUGUGACACCAUUGGAGUAGAUAACAGGGAUGUCUUGGGAGAUGACAAAAUUAAUAGCCGGGGAUCGGAAGAAAUGAAAGGAAAUGGUGGAGGCCCUAUGUUCCAUAAGGAGCAAAGAGGACUAAGUCAAGUCAAGGAGUAGAUAACUCCUAUCAACAGCCUCAAACGACCAACACAGAUUUUAGUGGCGGCUCCAAUUAGACGCAAAACAUGGCCUCCCACACGACCCCACACAUCUUGAAGACGAUCGAACCAGACCUCCCACACACCUCCCGCACACGAUAUCAUCCACCCAAUGAGCACAAAGAAGCUGCCGGAACUAGAUGCCCCCUGCAAAUACCCAGUAUGAACAUCAAGAGAUGAGGUUCAGGACGACAAAAAACAUCCCAUAACCCUAUUAACCACAAUCUACAUGACACCCUAACAUAUCUUGCCAGAGACGCGCAUCAAACUGCUGUAUUCAAAGCGCCUGGCCG